GCGAACGGGUGAGUAACACGUGACCAAUCUGCCCCGGACUGGGGGAUAACGUCGGGAAACUGACGCUAAUACCGCAUAUUGAGAUUAGUUCGCAUGGACCGGUCUUGAAAGAUUUAUCGGUCCGGGAUGAGGUCGCGCCCCAUUAGCUUGUUGGUAGGGUAAUGGCCUACCAAGGCUACGAUGGGUAGCUGGUCUGAGAGGAUGAUCAGCCACACUGGGACUGAGAUACGGCCCAGACUCCUAUGGGAGGCAGCAGUGAGGAAUAUUGCGCAAUGGGCGAAAGCCUGACGCAGCAACGCCGCGUGAAGGAUGAAGGUCCUUUGGAUUGUAAACUUCUGUAGGGAGGGACGAAAAGCCGAUUCUGUCGGAAUUGACGGUACCUCCAAAGUAAGCACCGGCUAACUCCGUGCCAGCAGCCGCGGUAAUACGGAGGGUGCAAGCGUUGUCCGGAUUCACUGGGUGUAAAGGGCGUGUAGGCGGGAGGAUGUGUCGGGAGUGAAAUCGCACGGCUUAACCGUGCAAUUGCUUCCGAAACUGUUCUUCUUGAAUGCAGCAGAGGCAGAUGGAAUUCCAGGUGUAGCGGUGGAAUGCGUAGAUAUCUGGAAGAACACCGGGGGCGAAGGCGGUCUGCUGGGCUGUGAUUGACGCUGAGGCGCGAAAGUGCGGGGAGCAAACAGGAUUAGAUACCCUGGUAGUCCGCACCGUAAACGAUGGUCACUAGUCGUCGGGGGAUUCGACCCCUUCGGUGACGACGCUCACGCAUUAAGUGACCCACCUGGGGAGUACGCCCGCAAGGGUGAAACUCAAGGAAUUGA
rnacentral:rRNA from 1 species